rnacentral:rRNA from 1 species
UGACGACCGGCGCACGGGUGAGUAACACGUAUCCAACCUACCAUCCCUUGAGGGAUAGCCUUUCGAAAGAAAGAUUAAUACCCGAUACUUUAGCGAAAGGCAUCUUAUUGCUAUUAAAGAAUUUCGGUGUUUGAUGGGGAUGCGUUCCAUUAGAUUGUUGGUGAGGUAACGGCUCACCAAGUCUUCGAUGGAUAGGGGUUCUGAGAGGAAGGUCCCCCACAUUGGAACUGAGACACGGUCCAAACUCCUACGGGAGGCAGCAGUGAGGAAUAUUGGUCAAUGGACGAGAGUCUGAACCAGCCAAGUAGCGUGAAGGAUGAAGGCCCUAUGGGUCGUAAACUUCUUUUAUAGGGGAAUAAAGUGCGGAACGUGUUCCGCUUUGUAUGUACCCUACGAAUAAGGAUCGGCUAACUCCGUGCCAGCAGCCGCGGUAAUACGGAGGAUCCGAGCGUUAUCCGGAUUUAUUGGGUUUAAAGGGAGCGUAGGUGGACGUAUAAGUCAGUUGUGAAAGUUUGCGGCUCAACCGUAAAAUUGCAGUUGAUACUGUAUGUCUUGAGUGUACAAGAGGUGGGCGGAAUUCGUGGUGCAGCGGUGAAAUGCUUAGAUAUCACGAAGAACUCCGAUUG